GCGCUCUUGGGGUAAUUUUGGUCGGCCGGCCACUCCUGGGAAGGUUCACCACUGUUCCAUGUUUUUGCCAUUUGUGGAUAAUGGCUCUCACUGUGGUUCGCUGGAGUCCCAAAGCUUUAGAAAUGGCUUUAUAACCUUUACCAUACUGAUAGAUCUCAAUUACUUUUGUUCUCAUUUGUUCCUGAAUUUCUUUGGAUCUUGGCAUGAUGUCUAGCUUUUGAGGUGCUUUUGGUCUACUUCUCUGUGUCAGGCAGCUCCUAUUUAAGUGAUUUCUUGAUUGAAACAGGUGUGGCAGUAAUCAGGCCUGGGGGUGGCUACGGAAAUUGAACUCAGGUGUGAUACACCACAGUUAGGUUAUUUUUUAACAAGGGGGCAAUUACUUUUUCACACAGGGCCAUGUAGGUUUGGAUUUUUUUUCUCCCUAAAUAAUAAAAAACAUCAUUUAAAAACUG